rnacentral:rRNA from 1 species
CCUACGGGAGGCAGCAGUGAGGAAUAUUGGUCAAUGGGCGCGAGCCUGAACCAGCCACGUAGCGUGAAGGAUGACUGCCCUACGGGUUGUAAACUUCUUUUAUAAAGUAAUAAAGUGACGCCCGUGUCCCUUUUUGUAUGUACUUUAUCAAUAAGGAUCGGCUAACUCCUGUCCAUCACCGGCGGUAAUACGUAGGAUCGGUCCCUUAUGCGGAUUUAUUGGGUUUAAAGGGAGCGUAGAGGGGUUGUUAAGUCAGUUGUGAAAGUUUGCGGCUCAACCGUAAACUUGCAAUUGAUACUGGCAGUCUUGAGUACAGUUGAGGUAGGCGGAAUUCGUGGUGUAGCGGUGAAAUGCUUAGAUAUCACGAAGAACUCCGAUUGCGAAGGCAGCUUACUAAACUGCCACUGACAUUGAUGCUCGAAAGUGUGGGUAUCAAACAGGAUUAGAUACCCCAGUAGUC